rnacentral:rRNA from 1 species
GACGAACGCUGGCGGCGUGCUUAACACAUGCAAGUCGAACGGAAAGGCCCUGCUUUUGUGGGGUGCUCGAGUGGCGAACGGGUGAGUAACACGCGAGUAUCCUGCCCUUGACUUUGGGAUAACUCCAGGAAACUGGGGCUAAUACCGGAUAGGAGCUCUUGCUGCAUGUUGGGGGUUGGAAAGUUUCGGCGGUUGGGGAUGGACUCGCGGCUUAUCAGCUUGUUGGUGUGGUAGUGGCUUACCAAGGCUUUGACGGGUAGCCGGCCCGAGAGGGUGACCGGCGACAUUGGGACUGAGAUACGGACCAGACUCGUACGGGAGGCAGCAGUCGGGAGUAUUGCACAGUGGGCGGAAGCCUGAGACAGCAACGCCGGGUGCGGGAUGACGGCCUUCGGGUUGUAAACCGCUUUCGCCUGUGCCGAAGCGUGAGUGACGGUAAUGGGUAAAGAAGCACCGGCUAACUACGUG